GGCCGGACAGGUCAAGUGACGGCGCAAGGUCAAGUCGUGCGGAGAGGCCCCACCCACCGUCUCCUUCCAACCGGCACUCCAUCGUCGCCACUAACAAGGCAAACGUCAACAACCGGCUCCAGUUUCGGGACUCUCCACGCGCCUGUGAGCAGUCGCCUUGUUCCGGCGUCCGGAGUAUAAUGCCUGCACCGUGAGGAAUCGAGGUCAUGGCUUCUAUUACAGCAGCAGUGCCCGGCGGAGGCGUGGCCCCCCCAGCGCGCACUUCCUUCGCCCAGGCUCUUCAGCAGCGGGCGGUGUCCCAGACGCGCCCUACUGCGGUGCCCCCAGUCCCGUCACCCAGCCC